AACGUCCCAGUUCGGAUUGCAGGCUGCAACCCGCCUGCAUGAAGCUGGAAUCGCUAGUAAUCGCGGAUCAGAAUGCCGCGGUGAAUACGUUCCCGGGUCUUGUACACACCGCCCGUCACACCAUGGGAGUCGGUAACGCCCGAAGUCAGUGACCCAACCGGAAGGAGGGAGCUGCCGAAGGCGGGACUGGUAACUGGGGUGAAGUCGUAACAAGGUAAC
rnacentral:rRNA from 1 species